CCCACUUUGAUCCCAAAAAUCCUCCUGGAACCCCCAAAAAAUCCUCCCGGCACCCCAAAAUCCCCCGCGGCGGCUCCAGUUUCCUGGAAAAUCCCGGGAUUUGGGGAAAAUCGGGAAUGGGGCGUGGCCGGGGCCCCGCGGAGGGGGCGGGGCUUCCAGGAGGGGGCGUGGCCUCGUCGAUGAGGGCGUGGCCUCAGGCGUGGGGUGUGGCCUUGUUGAUGGAGGCGUGGCCUCGGGUGCGGGGGCGUGGCCACAGCGAGUGGGCGUGGCCUCAACAGCGCGAGUCAGUUCCUUAAGGGGCGUGGCUUAUCCGAGGGGGCGUGGCCUGAGCUCUGCCAAAGUCCGGGGCCGCGGGUUCGAGUCCCGGCUCCGACCAUGGCGGUCCCGGCGCGGCGGGCGGUGCUGUUCGACCUUGGCGGCGUUUUGCUCACGCCGGGCCUUCAGCACUUCCUGAGCUCCUGCGAGAGCGAAUGGGCCUUGCCCAGGAAUUUCCUGCGGGACGCGCUGUUCUCCGGCGGAUCCCAGAGCCCGUAUUCCCGAGCCUCGUGCGGCCACAUCACCCUCAGCCAGGUGGGAAUUCCGGGAAUUCCGGGAAUUCUUUCCCCGGGAAUGAUGCCAGGAAAAACCCCGGAAUUCCCACGGGAGGAGGGGGAAGGACAAAUUCCCCUUCCGGGAUUUUGGGAGCAAUUCCCGGGAAAAGGCGCUCAGGCCUUGGGAGUCGCCGUUCCCGGAGGAUUCCGGGGCUUUUCCAGCCGGGAAUUUCCUGGAUCCCUGGGCUUUUCCAGCUGGGAUUUAUCCCAGAUUCCCUGACUUUUCCCAUGGGAAUUUCCCAGAUCCCAGAAUUUUCCCACCUGGGAAUUCCCCCAAAUUCCAGAACUUUUCUCUUGGGAAUUCCCCCCUUCCCUGGGUUUUUCCCACUGUGGAAUUCCCACAUUCCCAACCUUUCCCAGCCGGGAAUUUCCCAGUUUGAUUCCGUGACUUUUCCCAUUGGGAAUUUCCCAAUUUCUUGGGGUUUUCCCAC
rnacentral:lncRNA from 1 species